AUGGAAGGUCGCGGAGAAAAUGAAACUACCAAAAACAAUUAUUUGAUGAUUUAUUUCGAUUGUAUAAAGAACGACAGUUAGCGAAUCUCAAGAUCAACCACUGAGGAUUGUUUGGCUUGAUGCAAUGACCUUAAACAGUGAAAUGAUUUUCCAGGAAGGUCUAUACACAACAAGCUGGAUUUUAUUGGUGAUGAAAGAACUAUCAAUAUGUAAAUGGGAAUGUAACAGAAGGAAUUAAUAUGUUCUACUGAUCAUCCAGCUGAAAUCAUGCCUGUGGAAUAGAGUGCAUGUCACAAAUACUUAUAUGAGCAAAUAACUCCAUAUUGCAGAAAUAAGGUCAU